rnacentral:rRNA from 1 species
UACGAAGGGGGCUAGCGUUGCUCGGAAUCACUGGGCGUAAAGGGUGCGUAGGCGGGUCUUUAAGUCAGGGGUGAAAUCCUGGAGCUCAACUCCAGAACUGCCUUUGAUACUGAAGAUCUUGAGUUCGGGAGAGGUGAGUGGAACUGCGAGUGUAGAGGUGAAAUUCGUAGAUAUUCGCAAGAACACCCGUGGCGAAGGCGGUUCUCUGGGACGGUACUGACGCUGAGACGCGAAAGCGUGGGGAGCGAACAGGG